GGGAAAGGCUGCUCCAACCGCCGCCGUCUCCUGCCCCCCCCUUCCUCCCCCUUUCCUCCUCAGGAGCGGGGAAUGAACGGCCGGGCGCUGGCAUCGCUCAGGGAGGGUCGUAGGAGAUCCUCGCCUCCGCCUGAGGUCACCUGAUGGCUGAAGAAUUAGCAAAAUGCUGAUUUAAAAUGAAUUGGAUAGAAGCUGAAGGGAACCUGCCAGAAGAUCCUCGUGAAUCAGCUUCCCAACUUGAGACCAGGAUCUCCUGAUGUUUCAGAGGAUAUUGUAUCACUCAAUUCACUUUGUACUGGAGGAGCUGGAGUGAUUUCCUGGUUCCCUUUAGCUCUCGCCUCCUUUAAUGAAAUGCAUCAAGUUAAGACGAAUUUUAAAUGAAACCAUUCUAGGCAGUAAUUUUAUUAAUUAUUGAAAUGUUUUGAGUUCUCCGGAAUGUUUAACUUUGGCUUAUCUGAUAGUGAAAGAGUGGACACUUUGAGCUUAAUACAAAAUUCUAUGCAGAAUCCUACUAAACAAUGGUUUACCAAAUACUAUUGGUUCAUGCUUAAGAAAAAAAAAUAAAAACUGCUAUACCUGUUUAGCCACCUU